AUCAAGUUGACGAGUCCCAAAUAGGGCGAAAUGCUCGUCCUGGAU
rnacentral:hammerhead_ribozyme from 1 species